rnacentral:lncRNA from 1 species
CAAGAAAGUAAUUUGUUCUAACAGGAUUACAUGGCGUGGGCCCAAGGAGGGACCCAAGAUGCUUUGACAGUCUUUUUUUUUUUUAAUGACUUUUUUCCAUUACCUGAUUUUUCACUUAGAAGGACUGUUUCCAAUUUGGAAGAAAAUUCUCCAAAGCAGCAUGAGAAUGUGGCACAGCAAGAAGCAGAUAAACACCAUGUACAACAACUUUUGAGAGUCCUGAAAGAAUAAUGCAUGGAGUCAUCAUUUGAACCUUUGGAAUAGAAGGGCAUUGGCAUCUAAAGACCUUUGAGGGCUAAUUGUCAUCUAUGUGACUGUAUUUGGAAAAUACAAAACAACAACCACCAAAAAAACCC